GAUGAACGCUGGCGGCGUGCCUAAUACAUGCAAGUAGAACGCUGAAGGAGGAGCUUGCUCUUCUGGAUGAGUUGCGCACGGGUGAGUAACGCGUAGGUAACCUGCCUGGUAGCGGGGGAUAACUAUUGGAAACGAUAGCUAAUACCGCAUGACAACAGUUAUUGCAUGAUAACUGUUUAAAAGGGGCAACUGCUCCACUACCAGAUGGACCUGCGUUGUAUUAGCUAGUUGGUGAGGUAACGGCUCACCAAGGCGACGAUACAUAGCCGACCUGAGAGGGUGAUCGGCCACACUGGGACUGAGACACGGCCCAGACUUCUAAGGGAGGGAGCAGUAGGGAAUCCUCGGCAAUGGACGGAAGUCUGACCGAGCAACGCCGCGUGAGUGAAGAAGGUUCUCGGAUCGGAAAGAUCUGUUGUAAGAGAAGAACGAGUGUGAGAGUGGAAAGUUCACACUGUGACGGUACCUUAUCAGAAAGGGACGGCUAACUACGUG
rnacentral:rRNA from 1 species